rnacentral:rRNA from 1 species
GAUGAACGCUGGCGGCGUGCCUAAUACAUGCAAGUCGAGCGAACAGAUGAGGAGCUUGCUCCUCUGACGUUAGCGGCGGACGGGUGAGUAACACGUGGAUAACCUACCUAUAAGACUGGGAUAACUUCGGGAAACCGGAGCUAAUACCGGAUAAUAUAUUGAACCGCAUGGUUCAAUAGUGAAAGACGGUUUUGCUGUCACUUAUAGAUGGAUCCGCGCCGCAUUAGCUAGUUGGUAAGGUAACGGCUUACCAAGGCAACGAUGCGUAGCCGACCUGAGAGGGUGAUCGGGCACACUGGAACUGAGACACGGUCCAGACUCCUACGGGAGGCAGCAGUAGGGAAUCUUCCGCAAUGGGCGAAAGCCUGACGGAGCAACGCCGCGUGAGUGAUGAAGGUCUUCGGAUCGUAAAACUCUGUUAUUAGGGAAGAACAAAUGUGUAAGUAACUAUGCACGUCUUGACGGUACCUAAUCAGAAAGCCACGGCUAACUACGUG